GCCCUAACAACACACAACAUUCCAGGAAUGUACUACCAAAGUUCUAUCAAUAUUUGAAUGUCCUGGACAUUUAGGGAACAUUCGGUGAACAUCUGUUUAAAUUAUUCCUGGAAUGUUACCAUAAGACAUUCUGUGAACAUACUACCAAUGUUCCUAUAUUUUAAGUUGCGAAAUAAUACAUACGUGUAAGAGAUACAACAUUACUUAUAACAUACCAGACAAACUAAGUGACAUUUUAGGCCUACAGUGCAAUAAUAUGUCAAAUUUAAAGAGUUUCCCAAGAUUAUAAACAUACAAAUGUAAUAAAAAUUAUUGUUCGCGAAUAUUCAAUUUGGAAUGCGAUUUUGUUAAUAAAAAAAAUACUUAUAACUUAUGCAAAACCCAAGAGAGGCAUUUAUAUUUAUUUCUUUUGCGUUCAUUUUCAAAUUCGCCGUGCAUAUAAUUUUGUGCAUGGCGCUUGAGAGGGCAUCACGUGACUAAAAACGACCAACCAACGACCUCGCUUCGGCCAUCUUGGCAUCUUCAUCUUGGCGACCUUGCCUUGCCGUGGAUUGUUUUUAGUUGUUUGUAUUAUUUGUGCUUUUUAAGAAUAUUUUUUUAAUUCGGAUACUUUUAUAAUAGCUUUAAUAGUAUUAUUAACAUAGUGCAUAAAAUGGUGUCCUGUUUUUAACGCAGUUGGAGUAGCAGAAACAAAUGUAGAUAAAAAAAUCUGCAGGAAUAACGUUUCAAUUAUGACAGAAGCUCAAAACAAAUGACUGUGAAUGAAAAGCCCUAUUAAAAGCUUUCCAGAAGAUCCUGCGAAGAAGACAUGAAGUAUAGAUCAGAUUUGUUAAUAGAGGAGUAUGUUCAAAACACUUUUUAGAAAAAGAUAUUGACAGAACUUCACUUUCAUCUGUUCGUUUGAGAGACUGUGCUGUUCCAAUAGCUUAUGUCACACAGAAUCAGCUGAGAGAAGUGGUCUACAAAAAACCAGAAAGGAAACGGAAUAUGUGGCUACGAAAAGCAAAAGAAAGGUUUACAAAGCAAAUGUGACACAUUUUUUUAUAAUAUUUAGGAAUGUCAGCAAAUUACAUUAAAAAAUGUAUGUAAAGAUUUUUUGCAAUAAAAAUGUUUAUAUUUAUCAAGGAUGUAUUAUUUGGUAUGGCCAUAUAUCGUCAGUGAUGUGACAGUACCUCCUAUCUGUUUUUUUCAAGAGAUUUGUAAGAUAGACUAAAAACUUGUUUCGGCCACCUCCUGUUUUCAUA